UAAAUUGUCCCCUGGCAACCAGACAGCUGCUGAUAUUCCAGACUGGAUUGCUGCUAAACAAAAAGUCUAAUAAUUCAAAAACCACGAAUAACUGCAUAUUUUUAAACUAUCACCGUCAGCAUUAUAAGAAAAGUUAAUCAAAGGUGAACUACUCCUUUCUCCAAAGAAUAUGUCUGGAUACUGUAUGUUAUUUUGUUUUUUAAUAACUAACACUAAUGGUUUUUAGUCUGAUCUAAAGCUUGGCUCAAUCCCUUCACUCUGUACAUUGCUGUGAAUAAUGAGCUUCCCUGUGGCCUAUAGGUUACAUAACUUUAGCUGAUAAAUUAUAGCAAAGUACAGUACAUUCACUGAUUGUGCACAGGAGAAUGCAUUUCAUUUAGCAGGCUCACUAAAUAGGACAGUCACAGCAUUUGGGGUAGAACACCUAGAGUAGGUAUAUAGCCUUGUUGGCUAGCUAAUGCUGCUGGGAGCUAUAGUUUAGCAACAGCUAUAGAAGCAGAGAUUUGGUGCAGUUUCUUGUGUAGUUUGUGCACUAUGGAUGUUCUGUCGCAGCAGCAGAAUCUGUUGGGAGCUAGCCCAUCUCAAGAUUGCCGCAAUACAAUAAUGGGGUGCAGGGGUUAUGUUUACCAAGGGUAUUCCGGAUAAGGGGUCUUUCCGUUAUUUGGAUCUCCAUACCUUAACUCUACUAAAAAAUCAAUAAAACAUUAAACCCAAUAGGAUUGUUUUGUCUCUAAUAAGGAUUAUUUACAUUAUUCCUUUAAAUGACAAGUAAUUAUAUAAUGUCAUAAUGAAAAGUGAUUAAAAUACAAUGUUGCCCUGCUAU